GUGGCUUAGCAGAGCUGACACAUGAAAGGACUGCAGUGGUAUGUGAACCAGGUUCAGGCUUGAAACCGUUUCUGUAGUUCAGUCCCAGAGAGCUGGAAUGAACAUUAACUCAGAAUUCAAUUACUCCCUCAUAAGCUCCAGUAGAGAUCCACUGGGAGACACUAUUACUAAACAAGAACACAAUGCUGCCCUUCUGGGGACAUCAUAGUAGGACACGCUUGUCCUCCUAAGCAUGCAUGUGUGGAUGGAAAACGUAAAAGACCUCCAGAUCUCAGCAGUGUGUUGUGUAAGCUUAUUGAAAGCUCUUCCCAUCCUUUCUAGAAACUUGGGAGCAAGUCCUGGUCCCAUAUGAACUGGUGGGAUCAGUUUCCUAAGCAUAUAGAAGCAUGCCCUGGGGAAUGUUCAUGCUGGAAAGGAAAAGGGUAGAGUAGGAUAAACAUAGAGGUCUUUAUUUUAUAGAAGGCAGUUUUUAGCUUCUAUGGGCAAGAGAUUUUCUAUUUACCUGUCCUUUGAUGGAGCAGAAACAAAAAUGAAGAAAAACAAUCUGCAGAUUGCUAAGUCUUUUUUUGGUAUGUGUCUUUCAGUGUAUCAGUUGGGGGAAGAACACAGACUAUCUUUACAGCACUGUAGAAGAAUAAUCUGCUUUUGGCCACAACUUGGAGUGUCUGAAGUUGCAUUAUGCAGAGGUAACAAGGGCAUAUUGAAACGGCAACUCAACAGCUACUCUGAAAGGUUAAAAAUGGCCACUUUGGAGUUGCAAAGUCAACGAGAAUUUCAGGUCAGCUUCCAGUGCUGUUUAAUCUGUGAGAUUUUCUGCUGAAGAACAUUAUAUUCUGUUUUGUU
rnacentral:lncRNA from 1 species